rnacentral:snRNA from 1 species
GCAUGUGAGAGUGAUCUGGUUGCAACAUCUUUCACUCCAUUAACUUCAAGAUUUGAUUUGGCUGAUAUGGCUGAUUAGUCAGAUGUGCCCUUCCUCUCUCACCAUUACAUAUGUUGAAGCUGAAGCUGUGGCAACCAUUCCAUAGAGAAGUGUACUAUUUCUCAAUCAAAGAUAUAUCCAA